rfam:Myotis brandtii contig247807, whole genome shotgun sequence.
GGAUGUUUCUCGGGUGACUCACCCCCAAAUCGGGCUCCCUCCUCUCUGGUUCCAGGGUGCUUUACCCAGAACUGCC